AAAUAAAAGGCACGAACGGCUAAGAUGUGAUCGUUCUUUGGCGGUGCACGUGUCACCACAUGACAUUGCCUUCUUUUCUUUUUGUUCUUCUUUUGCUUUUGCUUUGAAUUUGAGUGUUCGAUGAAAUUCUCCCUCACAAUCUCGAGAUUUAGAACAUCGUCUUCCAUUCUUCGCAUCUCUCUCUAUUUGCUCCUCUCAGGGAAAAAAUGAGUGGCCGAUCAAGUCGCACAUUAUAUGUUGGCAAUCUUCCUGGUGAUAUUCGCAUGAGAGAAGUGGAGGAUCUUUUCUACAAGUAUGGCCCUAUCGUUGACAUUGAUUUGAAGAUCCCUCCAAAACCACCAGGUUAUGCUUUUGUCGAGUUUGAGGAUGCUCGUGAUGCUCAAGAUGCGAUUUACUAUAGAGAUGGUUACGAUUUUGAUGGUUAUCGAUUACGAGUUGAACUUGCACAUGGUGGACGCAGAAAUUCAUCAUCUGUGGACCGAUACAGUAGGCAUAGCGGUAGUAGUGGUAGUCGUGGAGUUUCUAGGCGAUCUGACUAUCGUGUUCUGGUGACUGGAUUACCUCCUUCUGCUUCAUGGCAAGACCUGAAAGAUCACAUGCGUAAAGCUGGUGAUGUGUGUUUUUCUCAAGUGUUCCGUGAGCGUGGAGGCUUGACCGGGAUAGUUGAUUAUACCAAUUAUGAUGAUGUGAAAUAUGCUGUGAGGAAGCUUGAUGACUCGGAAUUUCGAAAUGCAUUUUCUCGGGCAUACAUACGGGUGAGGGAAUAUGAUCGGAGUUAUUCUAGAAGUCCCAGUCGUGAUUCAAGGAGGAGCUAUUCUCGAAGUCGCAGCCCAUAUAUAUCACGAAGUCGAAGCCGUAGUCUAAGUCAUAGCUACAGUGGCAGGAGCAGAAGUUUGUCUCCAAAAGCAAAACACUCUCGGCGCUCAUUAUCUCUUUCAAGACUUAUCAGCAUAGUUCUUCAUAUGUGGAAACGUGGAGAGGGUUGAUGAUAAAGUUGUCUUCAGCAUGGCCGCUAGUUAUACUAUGUUCAUUAGGGUUGACUCUCUUGUUUUCUAGACAUGGCCUUUUGCGGCGACCUGGGAACUGCAUGUUAGGAUCUUGAUGGCAUGUGGUGCUCAAACGCCUGCAACUUUGUGGUAUGAGACUGGAUGACAGUAGAUGGAUGAAUUGCAAUCUAAAAGCUGGAUCACUAUGAACAUAAUGCUAUUGAUCCCAGUCGAGAUCUAGGUCUCUGAGUUCAUCUCCUCGACCUCGACGUCACCAGAGUCGCAGUCCUAGCCAAAGUCCAAGGAGUUUGUAAAAAUCUCAUUUGGCUUAAGUGAGAUCUGCAUGCAUGAAAUCAAUGUGUUUAAUCCGGGGAGACCACUGCUGAACAUGCAUUUUCAUUCUGUGCUACAUCUAAGCUCCAAUAUAGCUCCAUCUAGUUUUGUAUUUGAACUUUAAAUUUUAUAGGUGAAACUAUGAAACAAACCUUUAGUUAGCUUCAAAAAAAGAAACCUUUAUAGUGCAUUUAAAUUUAUAUUGAUGAUUAGAACGAAUUGAAAUGAUAUUGUAUUAUCAACUCUAUGACUAGGUUAUGUUACAUGCCUUUGGCGUUUAGUAAUUUAAAUAAACCUGCCAAAUAGGAUUGGCAUAAAUAUCGGCUUAGCUUAUGCAUUUCAAGUGAUUGUAUAGGAUUUUUCAUGUUGUUAAAGUUCAUCAGGAAACUCAACCGAAAAUCUUUGGUGGGUAACACACAAUCUGAUUAGUCAUUUGUCU